GAGGAUGCUUAGGUGAAUGUGUGGGCACACCAGGCUAGAUAAGAUUAAGAAUGAAGUUAUUCGACAGAAGGUAGAGGUGUCCUAGACUAAACAGACAGAAGAAAUAUCAUGCAAUUAACCUAAGCUAGACAGAUUUUCAGAAGUGCAAAAAUAGACCAAAUACUUAUAUCAAUAAAGAUAUCCAUUCAAAUGAAUCACCCUUUAUAUUUAUCCAUUCUCAUACAUUGGGGAAUGAAAUGAGUACCUAGAAAUUGGACAAAAGAAUCAGAAGUGAGACAGUAAGCAUCAACACAGAUUCAACAGGAUCAGCUCAACACAAGGAAAUGAGAAACAACAAAAUAACACUUAAACCAACACCAAAAGCUUAUUAGAACACUCAAUUUCAAACCAUAUCGAACAACCAGAGAGAAUUUGAGAUUUGUUUUCAAAAUUAGAACCCCAAAAGAUCACAUAACCAGCCAAUAGAACAAUAUUCAUUCAAAGUUUAACCUUAUCUUUGGAUUUCUUCCACUCUUAAAUUCGAGGAAAGCAUUAAAAUCUAUACAAACCUUUUUGUAAUUUCCUAAGUUUUUAGUUCUUCAAAUCUAUGAAACAGUAAAAACAACUCAGUCGUCUGUAUUUUUUUGGGUUUUUAGCUCUCUUAUUUUUGCCUUGAAAGGCAAGAAUGAUACCUUUUUAUAGGCCCAGCCAUAGGGCAGCCCUCAGGAUCACUUAUUUACCCUUUACCCCCUUUUGAGUUCUUGUUUUAGCUUAGGGGUCCCUACAGUUCUGACUUGCCACUCAAGUUAAACAACUAAAAACAAAGAAAUUUCACCAAAAUCCCCACUAGAAACUUCUGAAAUCAAUUGCAAAGAUUCCCCCAUGUUAGAUUACCUAUACAACCCCCAAGCAAUUGUUAUUUACCUUCAAAGUCAAAAUUGGGUCAAAGUGACCCAAAACCCCAAACCCCUGGGCAUGCAUACCCUAGCCCAAACUUACAAACUUCAAACCAUUUAUCAACGAGCCUUGAGGCUCAAAUGAAUAAGGUUGUUUGGGCCAAAUGAAAGACAAUGUUAUUAAAAAACGUCUCGAACCACCUCACUUAAAUGCAGCCAUGGCUUUUGACAUACUUUAACAUCGUUGGGAUUUAGAUUUGGGUCACAUAAAUGCUCACCCGAGUUUAAGAAGGUAAUAUUAUUAAACUAGCACGCCUAAAGCUUUUCACAUUUGCAACUUUGCGAGGGCCGUGAAAUUUAGCAAAACGGUGCACAUCGAAUUCUAAGUAUCAAAACAAGAUUAAUUAAAGUGAGGCACAUGUAAUUCGUGAUUUUAUUUGGCGCGGUGCACCUUUAUUUUAUUUCUUUAAAGGAUAUUCAACCUAGAAUUUGGAGGGCCAUUAGCUAUUUGUUAUCUAAUUAUGGCUCACCUCCAUUAACUACAAGGACUCGCUGAUUUAAAAGAAAACCAAGAAACCAUAGUUGAGAUGAAAAGGGAUUCUAAAAUUAAGACUAAUGAAAUCCAACCUAUACCCGUUCCAGAAUUUGCCUUGGCCUAAAGCGAAGCUCAUUGGCCCAAAGGACAUUUGAAGGUUGCCAAAUAUUGGAUCACACGGCUAAACCUUUUUGGGCUCAAAUGGGAGGCCCAAAUUCUCAGGGGGUGUCGCUCUAUUAGAUGUCAAAGAGGUCACCUUCGAUCACAGGCAACAACAGAAGACGACUCGACUUUUGAAAACACAAUGGCAAAAACAAAUAAGCGUUACGAAUCUGAGAAUGAUAUCAACAAUUGUAUUAAUAUUUAGAGACAAUGGAAACUUGACGGGAACCAAAUAAGCAUUCUUUUUUAUGAAAUUCCUAUUAAAUUCCAACAACUUUAAGCAUUAAUCAAAGAAGUACUAGCAGUGGGCUUUUUAUUGAACCUUGGGGCUAAAAAACACAUUCAUGGUUGAACCAUCAUAUUCAGAUUAAGAGAUGUGAAGUGUCAAAUUUCACACCAAGUCAACCUAACAUUUUCACUUAUUGUUUAUCCACACAUUAAAUGCUGGCACACUAAUGAAACAAUUAACUAUAUGAUCAGAUUUCCCUUUGACAUGGAUUCUGUAAAAACAUGCCCAUUUCAACGAUAUGAACAUCGAGGCUAGAUGUCUAUCCUUGUGGUCUCAUACGAGUUCAAACAAUACCAAGUAUUUAAAAGAUAUCUAUUACACAUUUGGUACUUCUCAAUGAACAAUCAAACCAAUUUAUAACACAACAAUUCCUAGACUAAACAGACAGAAGAAAUAUCAUGCAAUUAACCUAAGCUAGACAGAUUUUCAGAAGUGCAAAAAUAGACCAAAUACUUAUAUCAAUAAAGAUAUCCAUUCAAAUGAAUCACCCUUUAUAUUUAUCCAUUCUCAUACAUUGGGGAAUGAAAUGAGUACCUAGAAAUUGGACAAAAGAAUCAGAAGUGAGACAGUAAGCAUCAACACAGAUUCAACAGGAUCAGCUCAACACAAGGAAAUGAGAAACAACAAAAUAACACUUAAACCAACACCAAAAGCUUAUUAGAACACUCAAUUUCAAACCAUAUCGAACAACCAGAGAGAAUUUGAGAUUUGUUUUCAAAAUUAGAACCCCAAAAGAUCACAUAACCAGCCAAUAGAACAAUAUUCAUUCAAAGUUUAACCUUAUCUUUGGAUUUCUUCCACUCUUAAAUUCGAGGAAAGCAUUAAAAUCUAUACAAACCUUUUUGUAAUUUCCUAAGUUUUUAGUUCUUCAAAUCUAUGAAACAGUAAAAACAACUCAGUCGUCUGUAUUUUUUUGGGUUUUUAGCUCUCUUAUUUUUGCCUUGAAAGGCAAGAAUGAUACCUUUUUAUAGGCCCAGCCAUAGGGCAGCCCUCAGGAUCACUUAUUUACCCUUUACCCCCUUUUGAGUUCUUGUUUUAGCUUAGGGGUCCCUACAGUUCUGACUUGCCACUCAAGUUAAACAACUAAAAACAAAGAAAUUUCACCAAAAUCCCCACUAGAAACUUCUGAAAUCAAUUGCAAAGAUUCCCCCAUGUUAGAUUACCUAUACAACCCCCAAGCAAUUGUUAUUUACCUUCAAAGUCAAAAUUGGGUCAAAGUGACCCAAAACCCCAAACCCCUGGGCAUGCAUACCCUAGCCCAAACUUACAAACUUCAAACCAUUUAUCAACGAGCCUUGAGGCUCAAAUGAAUAAGGUUGUUUGGGCCAAAUGAAAGAAAACGAAAAAUAAACAACAGAGAAGGAAAAGAACUGAGUCAAGGAACUCAUGGAAUUCAAGCAAAAGAAACAACAAGGAAGGAACACUUAACCAACCUGACAAUCAAAUGGGAAACUGGUGAAUGAAACCACGAAUCAAGCAAGACAAACAAACAAAUGACUAAACAACAUUUGACCCCAAAUGCGUCUGUGUUAAAACCAAAAUUCAUCAAUCUUGAAAGAAAAGGAACAUGAGGCAAAGAAAAGAAGGGGAACAAUUAGAAAAAUGGAGAAAUUAAGGGAGAUAGAAGUACCUAAACAAAAACGGCGAAGACAGACUCAAGCUAAUCGAACCCACUCCUCUGAUUUGAACCAAAAAUGGGUGUUAAACGACUGUUAUUGUAAGAACGGUCGACUGACACUCGUUUCAGGCCCAAAUUGUCUUCAAAACGGGAGGACAUGAACCUAGGCCCUUGAAUGACGAGUUCAAGACUGGAAUGGAUUUAGGUAUGGAAUUUUAGAUCUAAUGUUCGGGACGUUUCAACAGGAUUUGAUGAAAGCUGGUCUGAGAUUUGGGGAGAGGGAGUCACGGUGAGUCCAUGGCCUAUUUUUUAUGGGGUUUGGCGAUGGCGCUGCCAGGUUUGCUGUGGUGGAGAAGAAGGGUGGUUAUCUAGGGAUAAGAGUUUGGGGGGUCUCUGAAAUGACGAAAUGAGGGAGAUGAUUG
rnacentral:lncRNA from 1 species